AUUGAACGCUGGCGGCAUGCCUUACACAUGCAAGUCGAACGGCAGCGGGGGAGAAGCUUGCUUUUCCUGCCGGCGAGUGGCGAACGGGUGAGUAAUAUAUCGGAACGUGCCCUGUAGUGGGGGAUAACUAGUCGAAAGAUUAGCUAAUACCGCAUACGACCUGAGGGUGAAAGUGGGGGACCGCAAGGCCUCAUGCUAUAGGAGCGGCCGAUGUCUGAUUAGCUAGUUGGUGGGGUAAAGGCCUACCAAGGCGACGAUCAGUAGGUGGUCUGAGAGGACGAUCAGCCACACUGGGACUGAGACACGGCCCAGACUCCUACGGGAGGCAGCAGUGGGGAAUUUUGGACAAUGGGCGAAAGCCUGAUCCAGCAAUGCCGCGUGUGUGAAGAAGGCCUUCGGGUUGUAAAGCACUUUUGUCCGGAAAGAAAUGGCUCUGGUUAAUACCUGGGGUCGAUGACGGUACCGGAAGAAUAAGGACCGGCUAACUACGUGCCAGCCGCCGCGGUAA
rnacentral:rRNA from 1 species